UCGCUUAGCCACUCAGAUCUCAAUUGAUCCGAACAGCUAGUAACCAUCGUUUACGGCGUAGACUACCAGGGUAUCUAAUCCUGUUCGCUACCUACGCUUUCGUCCAUCAGCGUCAGUGAAUUGUUAGUGAUCUGCCUUCGCAAUCGGUAUUCUGAGUAAUAUCUAUGCAUUUCACCGCUACACUACUCAUUCUAACCACUUCACAAGCACUCAAGAACAACAGUAUCAAUGGCAAUUCUACAGUUGAGCUGCAGACUUUCACCACUGACUUAUUGUCCCGCCUACGGACCCUUUAAACCCAAUGAUUCCGGAUAACGCUUGGAUCCUCCGUAUUACCGCGGCUGCUGGCACGGAGUUAGCCGAUCCUUAUUCUUACAGUACCGUCAACACCCGACACGUCGGGCUUUUUCUUCCUGUAUAAAAGCAGUUUACAACCCAUAGGGCAGUCUUCCUGCACGCGGCAUGGCUGGAUCAGGAUUGCUCCCAUUGUCCAAUAUUCCUCACUGCUGCCUCCCGUAGG
rnacentral:rRNA from 2 species